AUUGAACGCUAGCGGGAUGCUUUACACAUGCAAGUCGAACGAGUGGCGGACGGGUGAGUAAUAUAGCGGAACGUGCCCAGUAGCGGGAGAUAAAUACUCGAAAGCGUGGCUAAUAGCGCAUACUAUUGUAGCGGCAGAUAUCGGAUUAGCUAGUUGGAGGGGUAAAGGCUCACCAAGGCAACGAUCCGUAGCAGGUUUGAGAGGACGACCAGCCACACUGGGACUGAGACACGGCCCAGACUCCUACGGGAGGCAGCAGUGGGGAAUUUUGGACAAUGGGGGAAACCCUGAUCCAGCCAUCCCGCGUGUAUGAGAAGGCCUUCGGGUUGUAAAGUACUUUUGGCAGAGAAGCGGUAUCUGCAGAAUAAGCACCGGCUAACUACGUGCCAGCAGCCGCGGUAAUAC
rnacentral:rRNA from 1 species